AGCAGCCGCGGUAAUUCCAGCUCCAAUAGCGUAUAUUAAAGUUGCUGCAGUUAAAAGCUCGUAGUUGAAUUUCGGGACUAAUAUGUCGGUCGUGCCUCGGUACGUACUGGCUUAUUGGUUUCUCCUUUCUGAAGAACCAUGAUGUCAUUUAUUUGGUGUCGUGGGGAAUCAGGACUGUUACUUUGAAAAAUUAGAGUGUUUAAAGCAGGCUUACGCUUGAAUACAUUAGCAUGGAAUAAUGAAAUAGGACGUUUGAUUCUAUUUUGUUGGUUUCUAGGAUCGACGUAAUGAUUAAUAGGGAUAGUUGGGGGCAUUAGUAUUCAAUUGUCAGAGGUGAAAUUCUUGGAUUUAUUGAAGACUAACUACUGCGAAAGCAUUUGCCAAGGAUGUUUUCAUUAAUCAAGAACGAAAGUUAGGGAUCGAAGACGAUCAGAUACCGUCGUAGUCUUAACCAUAAACUAUGACCGACUAGGGAUCGGAUGAUGUUAAUUUUUAAUGUACUCAUUCGGCGCCUUACGGG
rnacentral:misc_RNA from 1 species